CAUCCUCCAGAACUACAGACCAGUAUCACUGCUACCCUUCUUUUCAAAAACAAUUGAACGUGCUGUAUCUAACCAACUGUCAAACUUUCUUUCUCAGAACAACCUGUUUGACCCCAACCAAUCGGGCUUCAAGACUGGCCACUCCACAGAAACUGCCCUCCUGUCAGUCACCACUGCCCUCCAGUCGUCUGCCAGAGCGGCUUCGAGGUCAUCCGUCAUCAUUCUGCUGGACCUUUCUGCAGCUUUUGACACGGUUAACCAUCAGAUCCUGCUCACCAGACUUUCUGAAAUGGGCAUCACUGGCACUGCACUUCAGUGGAUCUCAUCCUACCUGUCGGGAAGAUCCUACCAGGUCUCCUGGGGAGGAAAAGUGUCAGGAUCCAUCAGGGCUCCGUCCUUGGACCCCUCCUCUUCUCCCUCUACACCACCUCACUUGGACCAAUCAUCACCUCCCAUGGCUUCUCCUACCACUGCUACGCUGACGACACGCAGCUGUACCUGUCGUUCCCCCCGACUGAUCUGGGGAUCUCAGCUAGGAUCGAGGCCUGCUUCACAGACAUCUCCGCCUGGAUGACCAAGCACCACCUCCAGCUGAACCUCGCCAAAACAUAACUUCUCAUCAUCCCGGCCAAGCCCUCCAUCUCCCACGAUCUCUCAAUCACCCUGGGAUCUGCGACCCUGGGAUCUCUGCCAGGAACCUCAGGGUUACCAUGGAUGACGAUCUCUCCCUCACGGCCCACAUUGCUGCAGUCUCCCGGUCAUGUAGAUUCACCCUCUACAACAUCCGGAAGAUCAGGAGAUACCUGUCUGAGCAUUCCAGCCAGCUGCUAGUCCAAGCACUUGUUCUCUCAAAGUUGGACUACUGCAACUCGCUGCUCGCUGGUUUCCCAGCAUGCGCAACCUGCCCUCAGAGGAUUCAAAACGCAGCAGCCCGUCUGGUCUUCAACCUACCCAGACGCUCCCAUGUUACCCCGCUUCUCAUCUCCCUUCACUGGCUACUCAACAAACCUGUUUUUCACAGUCUGCAAUCUGCUGCUGCUAGGCUCCUUACAAGGUCAAACCGUCUGCAAUAUGCUGCUGCUAGGCUCCUUACAAGGUCAAACAGGCGAACUCAUAUCACUCCUCUAAUCUGCUCCCUUCACUGGCUUCCUGUAAUUUACAGGAUCCAAUUCAAAAUUCUCACCAUAACCUGUAGGGCUUUACAUGGUCAGGCUCCUGCUUAUCUUGCCAAUAUAAUUCACCUACACACCCCCUUCCGGUCUCUUAGACCUAUUAGCCAAAAUCUGCUAUCCACGCCACGCACUCGUCUGAAGAUGUGGGGAUAGAGCUUUUGCCGCUAUGGCACCCAGACUCUGGAAUGCUUUGCCAACCAGAAAAGAACAAGUGAAGACUCACUUGUUCAGAUUCAAGACCCUGGUACUGACCUUCCGAGCAGUGAACCGGACUGCACCCGACUACAUCAAGUCUCUCCUCCAGCCUUACACCCCCAGCUGCCACCUACGGUCUUCUUCUGACAACCGUCUGGUGGUCCCACCGCUCAAGAGCGCCUGGUCCCAACACAAGCUCUUCUCCUGUCUGGCCCCCCAAUGGUGGAAUCAUCUCCCCACCUCCAUCAGAGACACUGACUGUCUCCCCACCUUCAAGAAAAGGCUUAAGACGCACUUGUUCCGGGAAUAAAAUCGUACUUAGGAAUGAUUUUCUGGACCUGAUGCUAGUUUCCUCCAGGAUCACAAUGAUUCUUAACAAGAGACUUGUUGGUUAGUUGUAACAAAUUUAAAUUCUUGUACUCGCUGUGAAAUAUUUUAGUGUUGAUUGCUUUUCUACAUUUACAUUUAGUCAUUUAGCAGACACUCUUAUCCAGAGCGAAUUACAUCAUCCGGGAGUACAGGGACAUUCCCCCGAGGCAAGUAGGGUGAAGUGCCUUGCCCAAGGACACCUUGUCAUUUGACACGGCCGGGAAUCGAACUGGCAACCUUCAGAUUACUAGUCCGAUUCCCUAACUGCUCAGCCACCUGACUCCACUACAGGUACACUCUUGCACUUUUUGAGGUUCAUGUUAUUUAAUUGUAACUUGUUUACCUGCAUGCUCUUAUGGUUCUUCCCUUUGGCACUUAUUUGGUUUUUCACAAUGUAUGCUUCAUGUUUUGGCUGCCCGCAAUGUUUGGGGCUAUCUCGUUGUUAUGAUCAGUGACUUAUGCACUUUUGUAAAGCUCUCUCUUGAAAGUCACUUUGGAUAAAAGCGUCUGCUAAAUGCAUAAAUGUAAAUGUAUUGCGGUUUAUGGGUCACGGUUUCGGUUUGGUUUGUUGACAGGUGACUUAAAAGAUGAUUAUACAUCCCAUAGGUGCCAUCACCAGCGUAUAAGUAGUAUUCCCAAAGUUUUUCGCCAGCACAAGGCGCAACGUGUAACAGCAUAUUGAAAAGUCGAAUGUUUUUGUAUCGCUUCAGAUUCCUCAAUACAUACAAUUUGGUUGUCAUUACAGUUUACUUAAGUCUUCUAAAUUAAACUAGAGAGGGUACUUGCUUGCGUCGUUUGCAGAUGGGUCCGUUUAUUAUGAAACAAGCUGAACCCCCUUUGAAACAAGCUAUUCUAACAACGUUGUCACCGGUGUUAUGUCCCUACUGGUUUCCAAACUAACUGGUUUCCCAGCUGUGUGUGCACCUAUCUGCCUCUAUCACCAGUAAUAUGUUUGUGAACUUGAUGAGAUGUAUAUUUUUAUUUAUUAUUGCAGUAUAUUAUUAUUCAUUAUUGCAGUUAUUGUUGUGGGUGGGGAUUGAGGAGACCCCUUCUGACGUGGUCAAGCUGCCAGGGUAACUGACCCUGUAUCGAUUGAAAAAACAUCUUGAGGUCAUCCCUGGUGGCAACGGCAGCUUGGGAUGCCCUCGCGUUUGACAGACGCCCAAUACCCAUGAGGUUAUUGUCCCCGGCAACCACCCGUCUCCACUCCUCUGGCUGGAUCUCCUGAGCUGCUGACACUGUGUCAGUAAAGUUUGGUGGGAUAUACCUGACAGAUGAAAUAUGCACAAACACACAUUAUACAGGGUGAUGAGUUGGAUUAUAUAAGUAUAACAAGGCUAGACUUUGAAGAUCUUUGAUUCCUAUUUGAUUCCUGUUGCUGCUAUUACACCUGAAUGUAUAAUAAUACCUAGUGGCCAAGGAGUUCGCAGCGUCUGUGUAACACAGGUAGUUGUGGAGAGCCGCACAGGCAUUGACCACAUCAACCACCUUCUUUGGAUUGAACUCGAUGGGCCGACCUAGGACCCUCUAUCGCGCAGACAUGAUUCCAAAGGUGUUUUCGAUCACCCUCCUGGCUCUUGAGUGCCUGUAGUUGUAGAUUUUUCUACCUUCAUCAAGAUUGGUACCUGCGUAUAGAAGUGAUUUUCGUCAGAGGCAACUCAUAUUUAGAGAUUUAUUCGAGAAUAUUUCAGUCCAUAUUUGGGUUUAAGGGGCAAUAAAUAGGUACAUUUCAGCAUAAUCAUUUGAAUAAAUAAGUAAUACAUUUACUGUCAAGUAAUUUCCUAUUAUUUAGCCAAAACCAUAGGAAAAGGGGGAACCAAUUUUUUGUUCCGCUUGGGACUUAUUGGGAAUUAUUUAAUUGUUGCCGUCAGGAUAGUUUUACCGGUGCACAAUCAGAAGAGCCACACGAGGUGCUGUGCUGUGUGCCUCCAACGUGAGGAGAGUAACAACAGGAAUCUUACCGUAGGGACGCAUCUGAUUCGCGUGUAGGGGGAAGGCAGCAUCUCUCAAAAAGGUGUGUGGGAUGGGCACUGUAUACUUCCAGGAAGAUCGGCUGGCGGAGGAAGAUCAAGUGUCCCCUGGAGAAGCCCGUGCCCAAACCGACUGGCCUGAAAAAUCCCCCCGUCGCUCUGCCUCCCGUAGGCUCCAACGUCCAGCAUGGUGAAUCGGUACUGGGCAUCGCAAACUGCCAUCAACACCACGGAGUGCGUUCCCUUGUAGUUGAAAUAUUCCCUGCCGGCGGAUGGAGGGGCUUUGAUCUGCACAUGCUUCCCGUCAAUGCAACCAAUGCAGUUGGGGAAGUUCCACAUCCGCCAGAAAUCCCUAGCUAUUUCCUGGAACCCAGCUCUGGAUGGGUAGGGGAUGAACUCAUCUUUCAGUGCCGUGUGUAUGGCCUGGCAAACUUUGUACACGAUGCUAGAGACUGUGGCCGACCCAAGUCGGUAGCUAGCAGCCACACUCUGUUGUGAGCCCCCACUGGCCAGGAUACAGAGUGUGACAGCCAACCUCUCUGCUACAGUAACAGGCGAUGAGUGGGUGCUGGCACGCUGGAUGUAGGGACGGAUGCACUAUUUAUAUUUGCAUCCCUAGUCACGUGUGUUGUAGCCUUCCGCAAGUUGUGAGUUCACUCAACCAUACACCAUUUUAGGCCCAAGUAUCGUAGGCCCACAGUCACGUCCUCCUGUGUUUGUUAUUUUUGUAGCAUGUACCGUCUGAUUUUAACACUGUGGCCAUAAUAAACAUAUUUAUUUUUUAUA